CGCGGGACCUCGUGCUCCGCUUCCCAGCCCCAGGGAAGGCUUCGGAACAGCUCCGGCUUGUCCUGUUGAAACACAGUUUUGGGACAAAACGUUUAUUUCUGCAGCAGUCAGGGAGAGUUUCAUCCCCAAAAUGUUUGUGCCUGCAUCUCCUGCACACAAAUCCACAGGGAUGGGGAAAUCAAAGCAAACCCUCCUCCUCUGCUGUUAAGAGACCUGGAAGUCUGACAGCCCUGGCAAUCUGGCUAAAACCUUGACUUGACCUCUCAUCCCACAGGCAAGCCCUUGAAAACCCCAGCUCUGUCCCGGGGCGAUGCUCAGCUGUGACGGGAACAACCUGCCGAGCCCGGGCGGGUGGGCAGCACCCCCACUCGGGGACAGAUGCUUUCAGGCCGUCGGGGAUGUUUUCUGACAGAUGAGGACCGGUGCCUUUGAAGUUGUCAGCUGCCUGCCUGAAAAAUCAAAACUGGAGCUUAGGGCAGUUUGGAAUAUCACUAGAUCUUGGAAGAGAUGUCAGAGACUGGUCCUCGUUAUCGCAGCAAAGACUGAUGGGUUUCUAAAGCCGACAAGGUGAGCCCGUGUAUGCGUAACAUCUAGCUAACCUGAAAUUGCUGAAAUUUUCCCAGAGCUGGAAGAAAGCCAGUCAGUCUGGCAGAAAAAAAAAAAAUAUCCAGAGGCUUGUUCUGCGCCCCGCUGGCUCGUGCUGUUGAGCCAGAUCAGACGCACUGUAAAAUUUUGGGCAGUCCUUUGGCUGAGAUUGAGGCGGGGAAUAAAAUGGCGAGCUAUCCCCAUCCAUCCCAGCAGAGCGGAGGCGGCCCUUCUCCGGGAGCGUGAAGGAUGCUGCCGCCGAGGGGUGACGCUGCCUCCGUCGGCAUCAGCCCAGUGCUGAGGGAAAAUGCAUCUGUCAUUUUGUGCCUGGGUGGGGAACCUCGGCAGGGACCGGCCGCGGCCGUGACCCACGUCGUGCUUAUCUUUGGGGCGGGAAGUCCUGAGAGGAGGCUUGACCAAAUGGCGCGAGGUGGCGGGAGGUCUGGCCCCUUUCCCCAGGGCCCCGCGGGGUGAGGCUCUGCAGGGUGCCUGGGGCAGGAUUUCCACCUGCCCGGUGCCUCCUGGCUUCCCAGAAAGAAGGAAUUGGAGGGAGGUGACAGGGCACGGGCUGCCACCCCCUCGUCACCACGAGCGGCUGCGUCCCACGGAGCAGCCACGCGCGAGCGGAGCCGCGGUCCGCGACGGCGAGAGGCGUUUGGGGAAGGAGCUGCCGGUGCGGGAUGCGCCAGGAAUCUGCGGUUUGUCCAGCGGGAAAACUUCCCACCCACGGCAGCCCCUCCGGCGGCCUCCGUCCGCGGCGGGCGGGGUGAGGAUUCCGGGUGGCAGAGCAGCGCCUUUGCCCUCCGUGGGGGUCUCGGGUGGGCUCUGCCGGGGCGGGUGCACGGCCGGCCACAGCCACACGGUGGUAGGAGAGUCCCUCCUCGGAGCGCGGCGGGCCGGGGCUGCCCGCACCGGCCGAGCCCCCCCCGCAGCGCCGCCGCGGGGUCCGGCCCCCCGCAGCUCGAGGUUAUCCCCCGUUUGCCGCGCUGCAUCCCCUUCUCCCUGCCUCCCCUCGUCUGGUUAACGCCUCCAGCCGUUCCUUCCUCCUCCUCCUUCACCCAGCCUUCAUCCCCGCCUGCUGCGGGGGCUGGGUGGAAGCGAUGGAGGCUGCGGGGCUCGGCUGCCCCGCGGGACCCCCGCCGCGCCCCGCAGCCCCUGCGCCACCGGCGUUCCGUCCGUCGGGAUAUUUGCACCCCAUCCCAGUUGCCCUGGGAGUAUCUCCAGUCAUCAGGGAGCUGUUUGCUUCGCUGUGACCUUUGUAUCUGUGGAAGAGCCUCCGGCCAAGGUCAGCUCUAAUAACAACAGGCCAGUCUUCCCGCGAUCGAUGCGGGCGCUCUCCCUCUUGCACCGUCUGCACAUCGCGGUCCCUCCGUCAGCCGGUGCCACCGGCAGCAAUGACGUUAGAGACACACAGGCUCCGAACGCUGAGUGGAUGGAAGUUUUAUUGCUGCCAGCGAAGGAAUCUUUCCUCACCUGUUGAUUUGUUCCAAGCUAAUCCCUUCCUCAAACUGGGCAAACAGUUUGGCUUGGCUGCCCUCCCGUGACUCGGCAGCAAAAUAUUUAAUGGAUCAAUAGCCCCGUGGCUAAACCCUUCGCAAUGCUAUCGGGGAGGCUGUGUGCUAACAGGGCCAUCGAGACGCAGCUAUUUAAUUUGGGGUGAAUUGUGUAAUUCUGAUACCCUCUUGCACCGGUUACGGUAAGUUGUUUGGAGACUUCAGAGUGUAUAAAACCUACUUUUCUUAAGGAGAUUUCCAAGAAAAAAAACACCUCCAGGAGGAAAAAAAUGAAAAGAGAUGCGGUGCCUGGCCGUCUUCCCGGCGGAGCGCUCUGGCCGUAGGAAGCAUCGUUAAGGAGCUGUGCUUCAGCGAUCUCCAUCGGAGCAGGGCGGAAGCGAAGGGCUGUGCCGCAAGGGAGCGACCCCGUUCCAAAUGUCAUAAACCAAAACUUUUCCUUUUCUGCAGAAGAAAAUGCCCUCAAAUUCAUUUUGGGUUAAUGAAAACAUUUCACUGCAAAUAUGACUUCACAGUGAGUUACGCUGGCAAGAGAUAAUAGUAACAAUGGGAAAUGACACCACCUCAGAAGAUUAAACCCCAACUUUUGAUAUGAUGCCUCUGUCGGAAAAUUGCUGUUCGUUUCUGGAAUGAUUUGUGCAAUGCAGCCAGAUCUACAAAGCAUCGUUUCAGAUUUGGGGGGGCCACAAAGGAGCAGGAUGGGGCUGCAGGAGCUCGAGCUCCCCAUGCCCUCUUGUGGGCUCUUCCCUCUCCCACGACCCGCCCCAGCACCCAUGGCCCGGGGGUCCUUGCUGGCACCCAAGCGUGUGGGGAGCAGAGGGGUCGCGUUAGUCCUUUGACAGGCUACGGCAGGGCCAGCCCACAUAAACUUGCUUGAAAUUAAUGCCAGAGUGGAUAGCAAAAAAAUUCACAUAUGAAAUACCAAGGAGCUGGCCAGCAUUGGUGUGGGCUUCCAGAAUGCUCCGUCUCAGCCCAGGGUUUAUAUCUGCCCAACCCCAAAGCUUCUGAAAUCCAUGUUCUGCAUGUGAGGAACUGGAAAUUGUGUUGGAUGGGGAUUGUUCCCUUGUGCGGCUGAUUUAUAAGGCAGGACGGCUGUGGGCCUGACCAUGGAAGUGCUCAGCUGUUCAGCUGAGCUUUGCUCCAGGCUUCAUUAGGAACAUGAUCACACCCAGGCUGUUCGGUGGCUUUGGCCUCCUUUUGCUACCAAAGGGAUCUUAUUUCAAAAACUCAAAAAAAAAAAAAAAAAAAAAAAAGACAUCUUCCUGGUGAAAAGCACAUUUCUUUCCCGAGCAGCAGGAGACCUGGCUCGCCAGCGGCUGUCUGCAGCACGGCGCUCUCUCUGCCCGGGACCCGCAGGACACCCCAGCACCCGCAGCCUGCCCUUCACCCCCGCGGGACACCCCCAGGGACACCGAGCCGGGCACACCACCGCCCAGCCGUGGCCGACGCUUCCGUGCGACUCCUGCUGCUGCAUGACAACUUCAUCACAGUUAUCGAUGCUCUGGUGUUUCUGGAAACGCUGGCAAACCGGUCCGUUAAACCCUUCUCCUCCCUUGCCCUCCGGGCUGCUGCCUCCCCACCAGCCUUUCACCCGGCGCUUCCCGCUCUCCCCUGGCUGCAGCGACGAGGGGGUCCCUGGGGAGAUGGGGAUUUUUUGUUAGCACGGGGCGCACGUGGCCACGGGGAGCGGCGAGCCGGCUCGUUGCACCCCUGCCCGGAGAACAUCUACGUACAAAAAAGGAUGCUGUGCUGGAACAACCCGGCCGGCGUGGGCUGACCCACCCCAAGCACCAGCCCCCGUGCUCCUCCUCCUCCUCCUCACCGCAGCUUCGGUGGAACGUCGUGGCAGGUGGUUUCCUGCUUUUCCCCCCAAAAAGCUGAAGCAGGGGAGCCGUUCCGCAGCGUGCUGGCCGCGCCGGUCGGAGCAGCGGGAGCACUCGCCGCCCGCCUCCGAGGAUGAGCGGGGAUGAGCAUGCAGGCACCGUUACUCCCUGCCGGUUUCUAGCCCGGUGUUUAGCAUUUAACCUGCAGCUCUGGCAUCUCCUAGCCAGGAGUCCCGCCUCCGCCCCAGAAAUACAAGUCUAAUUAAAAAAUGCUGGUUCGCAGCCGCAGCCGGGCAGGCCGGGAGCUCGUGGCCCUGCCGGGGCUGCCCUGUGCUCGGCCAGGCUGGCUUGGGUGCCCCGGCACCACGCUCAGCUCUGCGCUGCCCUCUGAUUUUUCUGGGUGCCUUUGGCGUGCCGGCAACGAAACCGCGCCGGAGGGGUUUGUUUGCAGGUGACGGGGAGAGCUGGUAGGCGCUGGGUCUGCAGCGGCUCAUCUGGCGAGAGAGAGAAGUCUUCCAAAAGGAAAGCUUUUGCUUUUGGGGGAAAAAAAAGAAAAGUCUAGGAUUUUCAUUUAAAAAAAAACAACAAAGUAAUUAGCGCAUUUUCAGUGAACGGUUCCAGGUGAUGAGUUUUGCGUUUGAUUACUACUGCCACGGCUCUUCGCUGGCUGCGUCCGGAAUUAAAAUUUCAGUAGCAACGGUUGUAAAAAAACAAUGCCAGGUUUAUGAGUUUUUUUUUUAUUAUUAUUUAUUUAAAUGUGUUGUUUCAGCUAAGGUGAAUUCAAAGCAAACAGCAUUUGCUGCCACACUGCUCUAUCUCUUUAAAGCAGGUGAUGUGUGGGGAUGCCGGCGGCGUCCUGCUCGCCCGCGCUCAGAGCACCCGCCGCCACUAUCUGUGUUUGAACAGAGGGAAACGCCAAGCAAAGCCAACAAACGGCCGGAGAGGAGCUGUCUGGGAACAAAUCAAACCGAGGAAAGCUGGGAUUUAUGGAGGGAAAUGGAUCCAACAGCGGAAGAAAAGCCAGCAGGCUGGCCAAGGGGAGACUCGUGGCCAGCGGUAACAGAUGGAGGAGGAUGCUCUGGGCCACUACCGGACCAAACCUGGCAGGGGAAGGCUGGGAAGUCCUGCCCCAUCCCGCUGGCUCCCUCAGCACCCCGCCAUGGAUUUGCCAUCCCUGCCUGCGCUCCGGUGCCAGCCAGGCAGGGACGCUGCCACCUCUCCCUGCACCUUUCCCAGCUCCCUUCGGCACAGGAGGGACCGGAGCAGACACGGAGCUCGAGGUGCGAGCAGCCCCAUGCCCACAGCGCGGCACCGAGGCAUUCACCUCUCCCCCUCCAGCACCGCGUGUGCAUCGCUGGGCAGACGCCUCCGUGCAGAAGACCCCACGAUGGCCCUCGGAGCUCCGUCCUGAGCAGCGAUAGCUCCUUCAAGCCCACCGCUGCGUAUGCAAAGUCAGAGGGUGAAGUGUUGGGACUGAGUUGCAGAGGGCUCGCGGCGAGAAGGUGGGAAGCUGCUGCGGAGCCUCUCGCAAGUGUCCUACCACGCACGCUGGGGAUGGAGCGGUGUCCCUGUCUCAAGGAGCAGGCAUCGGAGGCCGGUGGAGUGCCACUUGACUGCUAAAACCCCCAUCCCUGGAGGGAACGGCAGGCAGCCGGGGCUGGAGAUCGCUCCAGCAAUCUCCGGUUUCCUUGGUGACAGCCAGGAUCUCUCCGCUGCACAAGAGCUUGGGCUUGACGGGUGGAGAGGAGCCUUUUUUUCCUGGAUAUUAUACUGUAUUAUUUGGUGCAAGGGUUUCAAAGGUCUUCAUUGUUUUGAGUCUGAGCAGCUGGGCGAUGGCAGAGCCCCACCAGCCCCGUCCACCUUCCCCAGGAUGAAGGCAUCGCUCGCAGCAGCGGGCUCCUGGCUCCAACUCCUUUCGCAGUAGCUGUUGCCAUCUUGUUUAAUUCCAGCUUUAUCUGAUUGUCACAGUGUGUUUCUCCAUAUUAGGCAAUAAGCCAAUUUGUUACUUAACCUGUAAUCGCACUUUAAUAUAAGCUAUCUCAAAAAUGUAUUUUCAGAGUGAGCCUUACAAACACACGAUAGGCUCCUAACAUCAAACCACUGUAUUCUUUGGGAGGAGGCUCUUAGGAUUUGGCACUGGUUCUGUUAGUUUUAGUCGCUGAUGCUUUAUCAUGGGCUGACACUCUGUACGUCGUUAGAGGGCAGAGCCAUCAGGCGUUCGCCGUAUUUAAAAGAUGACUUCUUCCCAGGAAUUCACUACAAAUGCGAUUUGCUGCUGAUUUGUUGACUUGAACCCUGGGAAACCCACGAAUCGUCUAACUUCAGCUGAAAUCGUUUUAUUGUGGGAAAUGUGGUGCUUUUUGGUUUGCGAAAUGCAAACAGGAAGACCUCACCUAGAAUAAUAGCACGAAUAACGUUCAGCAGCGUUAAUACAGCUGCCAAGGGCUGCUGGCACAUUCACUUUUAAUAACUCCAAUUUUACAAAUUAAAUGCUGAUAACAUAUUUUACUAUCAUCCUGUGUUAGUUCCCCGCUGCAGUUGCAGGGGAGGGAAGGUAUUCAAUCUCCAUCUCAACUCAUUAAUUUUAAAAAGUUGGCCAGUAUUUGCAAAGUGUUAAGCUUAUAAAAAUUGAUGUUGACAAAUCUUUGAGGAAUAGAAUGAAACAAAAGAAAUCAAUUAAGGAAACAGCCUGCAGUUAUGUUUUAUAAUCUAAAUUGUGCUCAGCCUCGCAAUAGAAGUUACCAGCAAACCCUGGUUGAAUGGAAAUGCAAUGGAAAUUCCUGGCUGAAUGGAAAUCUUCGGAGGGGAAGCUGGGGCUCAGGAUGGAACUCAAUAUUUGCUGAAACUGCAUAAAACUGCGAUGAGCGUCAGUGCGCGCCUCCUGCGGGGCUGGUCACCAGCUCGAGCUGGUUGUUCGCGCCCUCAUCCCCAAGCUCCGGCUCAGAACCUGCACCGAGGUCCCCCCUUCCCCCCUACUCCCUUGGGUCUGCCUUCGCCGGGAGUACAGAUCUGGAAAUCUCAGCCGCCCGCGCUCCCCUUGGAGGUCCCUCCGGGAGCAGGGGACAGAGGGGGGACAGCGAGCACCAGCGCAUCCUCCGCCGUGACCCAUCGCCACGGCAUCCCCGCCGAGGCCCUUGUUUAGCCGAGGGACGGUGCUCCUCCGCUAUCGAUGAGUCGCUUCCGCUUAGGACGGCAGUAUAAAUUAAUUUGGAUGUCUGUGUGAUCCUAUCAGUGUUAUCUCAGGCUUUGUAUUUUAAGGCUUCUGUGGCCUUCAGAGUAAAUAAGUGUUUUCUCUGGGUGACACAGGAACCCAGCGGAGGAGGGGAAGUUGUCUUGCCCGGCUCUGGCACAGUAGCUGGAACCCCUUAGGGUGUUCACCACCAAUUGUCUAACUGGACUAAUGUUUUAUUACAUGCAGGAAGGCAAUGAAGGAAGCACCCCAGAGCAGCACCCUGCGGGGGGGAUCCCGCUUUCCCUUUCCCAAGCACGCUCCUGCCCCGGGCGGCAUUCCCGGCUGGCCGAGCUGCCUGUGACCUUGUGCAAGUGCACAGCACCGGCUAACAGCCACCCCUCCUCCCUGACAUCUUCUCCUCCUUUUCCAAAGAAAAAAAUACCGUAUUGACCAUUUUUUUCCCCAUGUAUUUUGUUUCUAUGAAGAUUUAGAAAGGCCCGCAAGAAAAUCAGAAGUCUGUAUAGAAAAUACAGCUGAAGAAGGAAGAUCUCCAUCCUGGGAAAGGGUAAAGGAAAGAUCCAUCAAAGGGUAUCUCUAGCAUUCACUUAAUUUUAUUACUUUAAGUGACUUUAUUACCUUCAUUUUGCUUUCUGUUGCAUUCCAGCACUUAUUUAAUAAACCCCUCUCUGGU